UACGUAGGUGGCAAGCGUUGUCCGGAUUUACUGGGCGUAAAGAGCGCGCAGGCGGUCGUUCAAGUCGCGUGUGAAAGCCCCCGGCUCAACUGGGGAGGGUCACGCGAUACUGAUCGACUCGAAGGCAGGAGAGGGUAGUGGAAUUCCCGGUGUAGUGGUGAAAUGCGUAGAUAUCGGGAGGAACACCGGUGGCGAAGGCGGUUCUCUGGGCCUUACCUGACGCUGAGGAGCGAAAGCGUGGGGAGCGAACAGG
rnacentral:rRNA from 1 species